GACGAACGCUGGCGGCGUGCCUAACACAUGCAAGUCGAGCGGAGAAACAAAAGAGCAGCUUGCUGCGAUUUGUUUCUUAGCGGCGGACGGGUGAGUAACGCGUGGGUAAUCUGCCUCAAACAGGGGGAUAACACAGGGAAACUUGUGCUAAUACCGCAUAAGACCCCACCCAUGGCAUCAUGGAGAGGUCAAAGGAAGAAAUUCCGGUUUGUAGAUGAGCCCGCGUCUGAUUAGCUAGUUGGUGAGGUAACGGCUCACCAAGGCGACGAUCAGUAGCCGAACUGAGAGGUUGAUCGGCCACAUUGGGACUGAGACACGGCCCAGACUCCUACGGGAGGCAGCAGUGGGGAAUAUUGCACAAUGGGGAAACCCGUACGAUGCAGCGACGCCGCGUGAAGGAAGAAGGCCUCGGGUUGUAACUUACUUUGUACCAGGGACGAAGAAAGUGACGGUACCUGGAGGAACAAGCCACGGCGUAACUACGUGCCAGCAGCCGCGGUAAAAGUACU
rnacentral:rRNA from 1 species